rnacentral:misc_RNA from 1 species
GCUGGAGUUCCUGUUAUUCGAUUGGCUGGUGGAGAACCUGAUUUUGAUACACCAGCUCCAAUAGCAGAGGCUGGGAUAAAUGCAAUCCGUGAAGGUUACACAAGGUAUACUCCAAAUGCUGGUACAUUUGAAGUUCGAACGGCAAUUUGUCAUAAACUAAAGGAGGAGAAUGGCAUUUCAUACGCACCUAAUGAGAUUUUGGUUAGCAAUGGAGCCAAGCAGAGUAUUCUUCAAGCAGUUCUUGCAGUUUGUUCUCCAGGAGAUGAGGUUAUAAUUCCAGCACCCUACUGGGUCAGUUACCCAGAAAUUGCAAGGCUGGCUGAUGCAACACCUGUGAUUCUUCCAACAUCUAUCUCUGAAAAUUUUCUCUUGGAUCCAAAGCUACUUGAAUCCAAACUCAGUGAAAAAUCAAGACUAUUAAUUCUUUGCUCCCCAUCUAACCCAACUGGAUCUGUCUAUAACAAAGGAUUACUUGAAGAGAUUGCUAGGAUUGUGGAAAAACAUCCCAGGCUUCUGGUGCUAUCUGAUGAAAUAUAUGAACAUAUAAUAUAUGCGCCGGCAACACACACAAGUUUUGCAUCUUUGCCAGGCAUGUGGGAAAGGACUUUGACUGUGAAUGGCUUUUCUAAGGCUUUUGCAAUGACUGGUUGGAGACUUGGAUAUCUUGCUGGCCCUAAGCACUUCGUUGCAGCGUGUAAUAAGAUCCAGAGCCAGUUCACUUCAGGUGCCAGCAGUAUAGCUCAAAAAGCGGCAGUUGCUGCAUUAGGACUAGGCUAUGCUGGUGGGGAAGCAGUAUCUACCAUGGUUAAAGCAUUCCAGGAACGGAGAGAUUUCUUGAUCAAAAGCUUUGGAGAAAUGGAAGGUGUUAGGAUAUCAAAACCUCAGGGAGCAUUUUA